rnacentral:misc_RNA from 1 species
AAAGCAAUGCUGCUUCAACAACCUAAAUGUUUAACAACAAAUGCCCACUUCAAAACCACAGAUAUUAAAGAAGAUAUGGUAAGUCAAAGUGUUCUGGCGAACUGAUGGUAAAACUUCAAAACCACAGAUUUUAAAGAAAAUACAGUAAGUCACAGUGUUGUGGUGAACUGGUGGUAAAAAAGUAAAAUGCCCCUAUAAUUUCAAGCUUUCACCCAUUUUCAAGUAUACAUGGUUAUUAGUUCCCAUAAUCAAUUAGUGUUCCAAUGACACAAAUGAAAAUUGGUUCACAUGGAAGCGACAAUUAUAUCUGCUGAUGCCUAUCAGCCUAUGGCAUUUCAAAGAGACUAGAAGACAUGUGCUUAUGUGGUUUUCCCUUAUAUUAUUUCCCUUUUUAUAAGUUUAUAUAAGUUUGGGGACUUCCCAUUUUGAAAACAGGAAGUUGCUUCUUCUUGAAAAUAGCUUAAUUUUCAAAUUGACCAUGAAAAAACUUUUCUGUUUACCAAUUUUCCCAAAACAAAUUUAGCUGGAGUUAUUUUACCCAAGUAAUUACUAUAAAUUUCAAAGAGGGAAUUUUACUGCAUUAUAAUUCACAAAGUUGUCAGUUCUGACCCUCUACAUUCAGUUUACUUUCAAGCCAGAGAUUCUUUUUAGUAAAAAAGGCGGGCCCAAUUUACAGUUUGUCAAUUCACUGUAUCUAGCUAGCGAGGAAAUUAUAUUCCAGAAACUGCUCAAUACACCCUGAAUACAUGUUUUAUAACAUGAUUGCAACAUCUUCUCUAACCCACUGUUUUUGAAUUUAUAUUUCUGAAGAACUCUUUAUUUAUAUAAAUGAAUGUGCAUGUGUGUGGAUGAAUUUUUACACACCUUUUUUUUUUUUUUU